UGUUUUGUUCUCUGUUUGCAGGGCACAAUGCCGAUGUUACAUAGGUACUCACCAGGCUGAAGCUGGAGUGGAAAAAGAAAGUUUCUUCUGAAAAGGCAGCAAUGCUGAAAUGUGCCGUGGAGACUCAGAUUGUUUUUCAGCUCUAGAGGCGUGUAUGAUUUCUCUGAACUUUUUGAUACCAGCAGGAAACACUGCUACCACCCAUGACUUGCUUGUAGUUCCAUUUGGAACCAUUUAGGAAUCUUCAGCAUCACUGACUCUUGUGAUUUUAAGGAUUUGUUAUGGAAUGAGAAAGAAUGGAAGUAGAAGGAGGAAAUCAGUAAAACGAUGGUCAAAAUUUUCAUAACUGAUUGUGAAGGCUAUGCUAGAUCCAGCAGCUACUGAGAGUCCAGCAUGUAGAUACACAGCACCUCCUGAAAUUCAGCCCCCUAACAGGGUCCUGAACUGGGGCUUUAAAGUCACUGGU
rnacentral:lncRNA from 1 species